rnacentral:rRNA from 1 species
GAUGAACGCUAGCGGCAGGCUUAAUACAUGCAAGUCGAGGGGCAGCAUGGUGUAGCAAUACACUGAUGGCGACCGGCAAACGGGUGCGGAACACGUACAGAACCUUCCUUCGAGCGGGGAAUAGCCCAGAGAAAUUUGGAUUAAUACCCCAUAGUAUUAUGGAGUGGCAUCACUUUGUAAUUAAAGAUUUAUCACUUGAAGAUGGCUGUGCGGCUGAUUAGGUAGUUGGCGGGGUAACGGCCCACCAAGCCUGCGAUCAGUAACUGGUGUGAGAGCACGACCAGUCACACGGGCACUGAGACACGGGCCCGACUCCUACGGGAGGCAGCAGUAAGGAAUAUUGGUCAAUGGACGAAAGUCUGAACCAGCCAUGCCGCGUGGAGGAUGAAGGUCCUCUGGAUUGUAAACUUCUUUAUAUGGGACGAAAAAGCCUUUCUAGGUCGUCUGACGGUACCAUAUGAAUAAGCACCGGCUAACUCCGUGCCAGCAGCCGCGGUAAU